ensembl:lncRNA
CAGAGUGCGUUGAGCCUGAUGCUGGGAUGGAGAGUGAAACAGAACUGUCAGAUCAUUCUCAUGAUGUGACGUCAAGUGAGCCAGCAGGCACUUCAGGAGUGAAUAGCAGCAGGCCAGUAAACACGAAUGAAGGAUCUCCAGAGGGGACACGGGAGGUCAUGAAAGUAACAUCAGUUCCUAGGAAGAGAAAGUGGAGUGAGGUGGAGAUUGCGGCUGUAGAAGAGAAAAUGAUGAAAUUUAUUCACUCGGGAGUUACUCCUGGAAAAGUCGACUGCAUUGCAUGCAUUACAGCAGCCCCCAAAGCCCUCGGUGAACGAGACUGGCAGGCGGUGAAGUAUUAUAUAAAAAACAGAAUCACAGCAUAUGAGAGAAAGACCACUAAAAAGUAA